AACGAACGCUGGCGGCAGGCCUAACACAUGCAAGUCGAACGCUGCAGCAAUGCAGAGUGGCAGACGGGUGAGUAACGCGUGGGAACCUUCCCAAUGGUACGGAAUAGCCCAGGGAAACUUGGGGUAAUACCGUAUAAGCCCCAUGGGGGAAAGAUUUAUCGCCAUUGGAUGGGCCCGCGUCGGAUUAGAUCGUUGGUGAGGUAACGGCUCACCAAGGCGACGAUCCGUAGCUGGUUUGAGAGAAUGACCAGCCACACUGGGACUGAGACACGGACCAGACUGCUACGGGAGGACGCAGUGGGGAAUCUUGGACAAUGGGCGAAAGCAUGAUCCAGCCAUGCCGCGUGAGUGACGAAGGCCUUAGGGUUGUAAAGCUCUUUUGGCGGGGACGAUAAUGACGGUACCCGCAGAAUAAGUCCCGGCUAACUUCGUGCCAGCCGCCGCCGUAA
rnacentral:rRNA from 1 species